rnacentral:rRNA from 1 species
GGAAUCUUGCGCAAUGGGCGAAAGCCUGACGCAGCAACGCCGCGUGCGGGAAGAAGGCUUUCGGGCUGUAAACCGCUUUCAGUAGGAACGAAACUGACGGUACCUACAGAAGAAGGAGCGGCCAACUAUGUGCCAGCAGCCGCGGUGACACAUAGGCUCCAAGCGUUGUCCGGAUUUAUUGGGCGUAAAGAGCUCGUAGGCGGUUGAGUAAGUCGGGUGUGAAAACUUUGGGCUUAACCCAAAGAUGCCACUCGAUACUGUUCAACUUGAGUUUGGUAGGGGAGUGGGGAAUUCCUUGUGUAGCGGUGAAAUGCGCAGAUAUAAGGAGGAACACCGGUGGCGAAGGCGCCACUCUGGGCCAAUACUGACGCUGAGGAGCGAAAGCGUGGGGAGCAAACAGGAUUAGAUACCCUGGUAGUCCACGCGGUAAACGGUGGUCACUAGGUGUGGGUCUCUUCAAACGAGAUCUGCGCCGUCGCUAACGCAUUAAGUGACCCGCCUGGGGAGUACGGUCGCAAGACUAAAACUCAAAGGAAUUGACGG